CUCUGCCGGAGGGAGAGUGGCCUCGGGUGAGGUUCGUGUGUAUUGUAUCGGGGUGUUUCGUGGAAGGCGCGUGCGGGCCGAGUGUGUGAGUGGACGUGUGAAUGUGUGAAUGCGCGCAUGGUGCGUGCAAGGCGAAUGCGUGCGCCACUCCCGCGCCCCUCCCCCGGCCUCACCUUGGUGCGGGCCGAGUGUGUGAGUGGACGUGUGAAUGUGUGAAUGCGCGCAUGGUGCGUGCAAGGCGAAUGCGUGCGCCACUCCCGCGCCCCUCCCCCGGCCUACACCUUGAUCUUAUUUGAUCGGGUCGUGACUCCAGCCCCGCCGGGCCGACCCGAAAUGAAAAGCUCCCCUCCUGCGAAGCCCUUUCCUUGGGGCGCUGUGCAGCGAGGCCCCUUGGGCGGUGGCAACGCCGCGGUCCCCGGUCCAACGGGGCCCGGCGCUCAGAAGUGAUGAAUUGAUCAGAUAGACGAGGCCGGGCUUGUCCCGGGCCACUGAUUAUCGAGGCGAUUCUGAUCUGA
rnacentral:snoRNA from 1 species